UGCUGGUUUACAGCCAGCUACAGAAGAUGCAGUAAUAUCAACACUUUCAGUAGAACAAGGAGGUGUGAAAUAAGGACAGAACCUGUAGGUCAAGAAAUGAAGUGGAUUUCCACUGGAGUAAAUACAGCAGCAGGGGAGUGUAUACAUUUGAAUCUGAAGCCAGCGAGGAAGUGAUUACCUGACAACUAAGACGAUCAAUUUCAGCUCCAGGAACAUCACUGGUUC